rnacentral:lncRNA from 1 species
AUGUCCCAACUUGGUAGAUGAUUCUAGGUUUCCUUGUGUGAUUAAAAGUCCAAAAUUGUCUCCAGCGUGUUUUGGCGCGGCCGCGCGAAAAUCAGUCAAAAUCUCACACGGCCGCACGAGAAUCGCCGAAACCUUCUGCCCAACUUCUGCAGUUGGCACGGCCGUGCCAAAAAUAGGCUAAAUUUGGCACGGCCGCGCGGGCAUUUUCAGCCAAUU